AAUUGUGACCGUUGAGCAAUGUCUCUAUAUCUCUCAAUACAUCACCAAGAAAGGAUAAAGAUUGUGUGAGUUUUCUGUAUUGAUAUUCCUUGAUGGUUGAGAAUGGGGUUUUCCAUUUCAAGCUUGCUUCACUAUGAUUUCUGCUUUUCCUUGUAAAAUGGAACGGGGGUUUUACGAUUAACAACUUAAGAUGUUUCCAUCUGAUUUCUGGUUUUACAAGUAAGAUUUCUUGAUGGAAAAUGGGAGGGGUGGAGGUGGGGGUCUCCAAUUUCAAGCUUUCUUCACCGAGAUUUUUGGGUUUACUAUGAACCUUUCGUUUUAAUUGUACGAUUUCUUGAAAGUUUGAAACGGCAGGGGUAGGGAUGGGGGUUUACGAUUUCAUGAAUUUAUGAAUAAACUUUUGAUUCAAUCUACUGAUGUUUACUUCUUGCUUCGUGAGUUCUACCUUUUUAUUGAUGUUUACUUCUCGCUUCGUAAGCUCUACAAUUUUAUGGAUGUUUACUUCUUGUUUUGUGAGUUCUACAUUUUUUGUUGUAACGGUAAUAUUUAUUGAUGGUUGAAAAUGGAAGGGGAGGGGGUGGGGAAUAAACUCGUGAACAAGAUUGGAAAUAAUAGUGCAUUGAAUCAAUUCUGUAAGUUUUCUAUCCCAUUCACCAUAAAGUCGAUUUUAACCAUACAAAAAUUCUUGUCAUGUGUUGUUGUCCUCUCUUUUCUGUAUCAACUAGAAGUAACAAUUCCAAUGUAAGCAAUACUUCUCUUGCGAACAAAUCUUGUUCUAAAAAUGAAUUUAGUCUAAUUUUUGUUUGUACAAAUAGACUUGAUCGUGUUUUUGGUAGUAUUGAGUGUCCAAUUAUAAAAAUGUGUUGGUUAAUGAUAAUGUUUCUGGAACCUAUGUAUGUUCUUCUGUUUGCAGUAAUAAAAAUGUGUUGUUUGGUUUCUAUUCCUUGUACAUCUCCUAGAGACAGUGUUGCCGAAGUCUAUUAUCUAUAUUUCAACCAUACAAAAAUUCUAAUUUCUUGACUGAAAUUUUCUUCUUGCUUCAUUUCUGUUCUUUCUAUUAUUUUGUACUUCACACAGAUUUUUGGGUUAACUAUGAACCUUUGGUUUUAAUUGUAAGAUUUCUAGAUCGUUGAAAAUGGAAGCGGUGGGGGAUGGGGGUUUCCGAUUUCAAGAAUUAACGAUGAAAAUCUCAUUUUUUUUGUUGUUGUCAUAGUCUGUGUUUGUCGUUUCUUGUUGCUCUGUUUCUAUUCUGGUUUUCAUUACAUCACCUCUAGAUUUAAUAUUUGAACACAACAAUUAUUUGGUGAGAGGAAUGACUACAUCAUUAGCUUACCUGAUUCAAGAUCAGUAUAUAAAUAUACACUAUAAUGAUACAAAUUUCAUCUAACUACUGGAAUGUAUAUUGGUGUGAUAUGCUAUUUCUUAAUGGGGCUUCUCCGGUGGGAAAGAAUGGUGCCUCGAAGAGAAAUGGAGGAGGGAUUGGUUGAAGAAAAGCACUUAGUGAUAUCUCAAAGCCUUCUGCUCUACAAUCAUCAAAGAAAACAUUUUGCUGAAUCCUUGAAGAGAAUAACCAUAUCUCAUUGCCAGAAAUUGAAAUUGGAGCAGCCAGUUUGUGAGAUGAGUAUUUUGAGUUGCCACAACCUUACUAGUAGGUUUUUGAUUCCAGCUGCCACUGAAAGACUUGAUAUUUCAAAUUGUGAGAAUGUUGAAAUUCUUUAAGUGACAUGUGGGGGGAUCCAGAUGAUGUCACUGAUUAUUGAGGAUUGUUGGAAGUUGAAGUGGCUGCUAGAACAUAUGCACGAAUUUCUUCCAUCUCGUAAUACAUGGACAUAUCAGCUAAAAAGCCCAACGAAGCAUUAUGUCCAAGUGGAAGAGCUUCCAGAACUGAUUUUUUUUAUCAGGUCCAUUCUAUAUCUUUUUCUCAUUGUGUUGCAUCUCCUAAAUCAAUAAAGCCACGAUAUAUCAGCUGGACGGAUGAUGGUGUUCUAGAUUUGGCAUUUCUUUUGAACACCUAUCCAUUCAAAGAAUUAAUGGACACUACUUUCAACUCAAGGAUCAUUCGCAGCCCUUUGAAAUAUAUCCGUUGUAGUCAUUGAGCACCUUUAAAUUUAAUGUUUGAACCGCAACAAUGGUUUGUUGGGAGGAAUGGCUAUAUCAUCAGCUUACCUGAUUCAAGCUCUGGAUAUAAGUAUAUAUUUCUCACAAUUGGAUAAUACAUUGUUGUGAUCUUGUAUACUAUUUACAUUCCUAGCACCAUUUUCUCAUGUACACAUUCACUCCUUUUGUAUUGAAUUUUGUUAAUAAAAGUGUUGGUGGAGAAGACAUAAUAUUUAGCAUAAUGGUCAGCCUUUUCCAGUUGAUACAGAAGAGAAGAAGCGGUUCAAGUUCCGGAAGUUUGUAGAUACCUUCUGCAGGAACCCUAAGGACAAUUUGGCUUACGUGUGGCUCACUUUUAUGGACUUAAGGAGCACGUGCUAGCCAAUUGCCUCAUUGAUGAACUUUCCAUGUCUGGCGACUCAGAUGAUGCCCACCAUCUCCUCAACUGGCUGAAAUGCAGCCCUAAAACUGCCUCAAAUUCCAGUAACUUCUCUUUUGUUGCCACAAAGACAGAAAGCCCAACGAAGCAUUAUGUUAAAGUGGGAAGAUCUGCCGGAACUGAUCUUUUAUGAUCAGGUCCACCAACGGACCAUUGGUGAGGUCUUUUUGAUGUACACAGCCUGGGCAAGGCUCAACCCAAGAACAGGCCAAGGUAAAAUCGAUUGAAUCCACAGACGACCCGUUGAUGGACUUACUAGCCGUCGAUGGUGGUCCGUUGAUGCAGCCUGGUGCCACUUCCUUCGCACUGUUUCAUUAAAGGGGUGAAUGGAAAAUUAACCCCACGUCCUAAACUGACCCUACUUCAUUUAUUUAGCAAUUUUUGGGUGUAUAUAUGUGGUCAAAAACGUGAUCAACCCAUUCCCAAUCCCAUACACACCUAAUAAACUUUCCCACCAAAACCAAAUUAUCCCUAGAAACCUCCAUUGUUGGUAAAACUCAAAAACAACUUGGAGCAUGGAUUUUCAUGGAUUAUUCAUCAAGUAUUAAAGGUUUUCAUGUAUAUAAGGUAUGGUAAUCCUUCAUCUCUAAGUAACCCUUCACUUGGAGACUUAAUCUCAAUGUUUUUUUAAAGAAGAUUCAUGAUCAAAUCUCUUCUUCUUCGA